rnacentral:rRNA from 1 species
AUUGAACGCUGGCGGAAUGCUUUACACAUGCAAGUCGAACGGCAGCACGGACUUCGGUCUGGUGGCGAGUGGCGAACGGGUGAGUAAUGUAUCGGAACGUGCCCAGUCGUGGGGGAUAACGUAGUGAAAAUUACGCUAAUACCGCAUACGAUCUAUGGAUGAAAGCGGGGGAUCGCAAGACCUCGCGCGAUUGGAGCGGCCGAUAUCAGAUUAGGUAGUUGGUGGGGUAAAGGCCCACCAAGCCAACGAUCUGUAGCUGGUCUGAGAGGACGACCAGCCACACUGAAACUGAGACGCGGUCCAGACUCCUACGGGAGGCAGCAGUUGGGAAUUUUGGACAAUGGGCGAAAGCCUGAUCCAGCCAUUCCGCGUGCAGGAUGAAGGCCCUCGGGUUGUAAACUGCUUUUGUACAGAACGAAAAGGUUUCUACUAAUACUAGGAGCUCAUGACGGUACUGUAAGAAUAAGCACCGGCUAACUACGUGCCAGCCGCCGCAGUAA